GCAUGUGGUAAACAAUUCUGUUUUAAUUGCUUGUGUGAACUGCACUCACCCUGUUCAUGUGUGAUGUGGGACCUUUGGCUUAAGAAGUGCGACGAUGAAGCACCAACCGUCACUUGGAUGUCAGAGAAAACCAAGCAUUGUCCCAAAUGUCAUAAAAUUGUCGAAAAGGAUGGAGGUUGAAACCUUGUACAGUGUAUAUGUGGACAGCCAUUUUGGUAAGACAAAUAUAGUAGAUCAAUUAAAGGGGAGCCUUGGCGUAACUGGCCAUGAAGCACCGACUAUCACUUGGAUGUCAGAGAAAACCAAGCAUUGUCCAAAAUGUCAUAAAAUUGUGGAAAAGGAUGGUGGAUGCAACCUUGUACAGUGUAUAUGUGGACAGCCAUUUUGGUAAGACAAAUAUAGUAGAUCAAUUAAGCCUUGGCAUAACUGGUAAAGUUACUGCCAUGUGACCAGGAGGUCAUGGGUUCGAGCUGUGGAAUCAGCCUCUUGCAGAAAUGCAGGGUAAGACUGCGAACAAUAGACCCUUGUGGUCCGGCCCUUCCCCGGGUCCGCCAUAGCAGAAGCUUACUGUAGCGGGCUUCACUUUAAAUAUAGUAGAUCAAUUCCUCUUACUUGAUGCUUAUGAUCGUAUUAACAUUUCUACAAAAUGUUCUUCUUCUUUAGUUG
rnacentral:lncRNA from 1 species